rnacentral:tRNA from 1 species
ACCCCCUUAGUAUAAUUAAUAUAACUGACUUCCAAUCAGUAGAAUCUGACAAGACUCAGAAGGGAGUA